CAGACCUGGAGGAAUGUUGUAUCGAUUUCUCUUUUACACUGCCUUCGAGUAAAGCUUCAAUAAGACAUGAAGAAACCGGAGUGGGCUGUCGAGAGCGUGUCGUCGUGCAAGUUUUUACCCUUUUAUAUUUACAUUUUACUGUUUAAUUCUGAUUUUACAGUAGCUAGAAACUUUAAUCCUAGCUUACAUGUAUCACUUACAAAUAGGAACUUUCUGACCACAGCAUCACUGAAUUCUCAAUUAUAUUAUACUUUAUACCAUAACUUAGUAUACUAUUAUACUAAAAAAAUUUUUAGUACACCUGGGUGACUAGGAACAGGAAAUUAUUCAACCAUGACUUCCUGUUUCACAGGGGUAUAAAUAUGAGGUAACACACAGGCCAAAUUCCCUUAGUCAUUCAUAACAAUGUUUAAGAGUGAGGAAUGUAGCUGUGAUGUGCGGCAAAAGGUUGUUGAGCUUCACACAAUGGGGCGUGUCUAUAAGAAAAUAGCACAAGCAUUGAAAACGCCUAUUUCCACCAUCAGGGCAAUAAUUAAGAAGUUCCAGUCGACUGGAAAUGUUAUGAAUCGACCUGGAAUUGGACGUGUGUCUGUAUCGUCUCAACGCACUGUGAAGAGGACGGUUCGAGUGGAUAAAAAAUAUAUCAGAAGGAUGGAAAGCUGGAGGAUCACAAUAAAAAAAGGAUCACAGCUGGAGAACUGCAGGAGUUAGUCGUGUCUUGGGGUCAGAAAGUCUCCAAAACUACAAUCUGAAGUCACCGACAUCACCACAAGCUGUUUGGAAGAGUUUGAAGAAAAAAGCCUCUACUCUCAUCCAAAAAUAAACUCGAGCGUCUUCAGUGUGCAGACACUACUGGAACUUCAAAUGGGAUUGGGUUCUAUGGUCAGAUUAAACUAAAAUAGAGCUUUUUGGUAAAAAACACAGAGGUGGUUUUGGUAUACACAGAGAGGUAGCCGUAUGGAAAAGUACAUAGGAGAAUACUGUUAUCUUGGCAAAGGGAGGUAGCACAAAGUAUUGACUAAAAGGGGCCAAUAAUUGUGGCACACCUAUAUUUAACAAAAAAAAUAAAUAAAUUAGAAACCUGUGUUGUGUUUGCAAUUGUUUGAUAUCCAUGAGAGCAGGGUUUAAGAGGAAUAAAACACUUGGGCACAUGAUGUUAUUGGAAAAUAACCAAGGCGAUAAGAGUAACUCUGCUUCAUCACGUCACUCAGUAUUUUAUUCAUUAAUUCACUUGAAAUGAUUCGAUUAUUAGUAAUUAUUGAUUGAUUAAUUCAGCAUAUGGGCAAUUGGACUACAGACAUUAUUAAUAAUUAGGUUUUAAUUUGUUACUGAGAAAAAAAACUUUCUUCAUUACAGGGAAAAGACCAUCACCAGUCUAUGUGAAGAGCACGAAUGGUUGGAGAAAGUCUACAAAACUUAUGACUGGUGUCUGAUGAAAGGUUACUCACCUAAACAGGACAGCUGUGUUAUUCACCCCUUGUCCGUCAAUAAUUUUUUCGAUGCAAAAACAGCAGACGACUGCUGUUACCUGUUCUGUCAAACUCCAGCCAAAGUCUUUACAACUCAAGAAGAAAAAACACACAACUUCUGUGAACAAAUCAGCUUCAAUGUUACCCUCCGUACCACAAGUGACUGUACAAGAAACCACAAUAGUUUGGCUCGUGAGUUCAUCAGAACAACUUACAACUGCCUGAAGUGGGCUUUCUGAGAUGUUGUUAUCAGCUGAAAAGCACAAGCUAAACUUCAAUCCUCUCUCCAUUAAUCAGAAAUGAGUCUGUGCUGACAAAGAUUUUAGAAAUCACCUCUGAUGAUAAACCUUGC